rnacentral:misc_RNA from 1 species
UGCCAGCGUGGACAGCACC